rnacentral:sRNA from 1 species
AUAAAGAAGUUUUUUUAGAGGACGGGUUUGGCAGGACGUUACUUAAUAAGAAUUGUAAACUAUAAAAUAAAAUUAUUUUAUAGAUAGAUAUAAUUUGCAAACUUUUAUAUAUACUAACUUUAAGAAAAUAAAUUGUUUCCACGGUAUAUCACGGGUUAAAAUCUAGUUUGACAAGAAAAUUGAGAAAAGUAUUAGUGUUGGUAUACUAGUAGUAUUAUAUU